AUUGAACGCUGGCGGCAGGCCUAACACAUGCAAGUCGAACGAGUGGCGGACGGGUGAGUAAUGUCUGGGAAACUGCCUGAUGGAGGGGGAUAACUACUGGAAACGGUAGCUAAUACCGCAUACCAUCGGAUGUGCCCAGAUGGGAUUAGCUAGUAGGUGGGGUAAAGGCUCACCUAGGCGACGAUCCCUAGCUGGUCUUAGAGGAUGACCAGACAGACUGGAACGUGGAACCGGGCCAGACUCCGACGGGAGGCAGCAGUGGGAAAAAUUGCACAAUGGGCUCAAGCCUGAUGCAGCCAUGCAGCGUGUAUGAAAAGGGCCUUCGGGUUGUAAUGUACUUUCAGCGGGGAGGCGUUACCCGCAGAAGAAGCACCGGCUAACUCCGUGCCAGCAGCCGCGGUAAUAC
rnacentral:rRNA from 1 species